rnacentral:ribozyme from 1 species
UACCCAGCAACUCCUAUCCUUACCUCCUCGUGGUACUGGCCGGGGUAUGAGUAAGAUCGGGUAACCAACCCCGGUGGGAAUUUUAGUCGUAUGCUGACAGGGAAGG